GCGGGUUUAGUUUAAUUGGUAAAACAAUCGUCUUCCAAAUGAUUUUUGUGGGUUCAAGUCCUACUAUCCGUA